UUUCAGAGAUGAGAAUGUGCCUUCGGGAACCGUGAGACAGGUGCUGCAUGGCUGUCGUCAGCUCGUGUUGUGAAAUGUUGGGUUAAGUCCCGCAACGAGCGCAACCCUUAUCCUUUGUUGCCAGCGGUCCGGCCGGGAACCCAAAGGAGACUGCCAGUGAUAAACUGGAGGAAGGUGGGGAUGACGUCAAGUCAUCAUGGCCCUUACGACCAGGGCUACACACGUGCUACAAUGGCGCAUACAAAGAGAAGCGACCUCGCGAGAGCAAGCGGACCUCAUAAAGUGCGUCGUAGUCCGGAUUGGAGUCUGCAACUCGACUCCAUGAAGUCGGAAUCGCUAGUAAUCGUGGAUCAGAAUGCCACGGUGAAUACGUUCCCGGGCCUUGUACACACCGCCCGUCACACCAUGGGAGUGGGUUGCAAAAGAAGUAGGUAGCUUAACCUUCGGGAGGGCGCUUACCACUUUGUGAUUCAUGACUGGGGUGAAGUCGUAACAAGGUAACCGUAGGGGAACCUGCGGUUGGAUCACCUCCUUACCUGAAAGAAGC
rnacentral:rRNA from 1 species